rnacentral:rRNA from 1 species
AUCGAACGCUGGCGGCAUGCCUAACACAUGCAAGUCGAACGGAGAUAGGGGCAACCUUAUUUCAGUGGCGGACGGGUGAGGAAUGCGUCGGAAUCUGCCCUAUGGUGGGGGAUAACACAGGGAAACUUGUGCUAAUACCGCAUAAUGUCGAGAGACCAAAGCAGGGGACCGCAAGGCCUUGCGCGAUAGGAUGAGCCGACGCCCGAUUAGCUUGUGGUAGGGUAAUGGCCUACCAAGGCGACGAUCGGUAGCUGGUCUGAGAGGAUGAUCAGCCACACUGGGACUGAGACACGGCCCAGACUCCUACGGGAGGCAGCAGUGGGGAAUAUUGGACAAUGGGCGCAAGCCUGAUCCAGCAAUGCCGCGUGUGUGAAGAAGGCCUGCGGGUUGUAAAGCAC